rnacentral:tRNA from 1 species
GCCUUUGUGGUGCAAUGGUCAGCACACUCGACGCGUGUUCGAGAGGUCCGGGUUCGAGUCCGGACGAGGGCG